UGUGAUUUUUAGGGAGGAGGAAGAGGUUGAUAGAUUCAGCAAAGUUCAAGAGAGUUUCUUGACUAGUUCUUCAACUCUCAGUAUACUUGAAUUCAUGAAUUAUGAGAAAAUCAACCCUUGAAGUGCAGGAAUUCUACAACAUCACUAAUGAUACAUAUACGAAAUCAC